UGAGGAAUCUUCCACAAUGGACGAAAGUCUGAUGGAGCGACACCGCGUGAAGGAUGACGGUCUAACGAUUGUAAACUUCUUUUCUGAGGGAGAAUAAUGAUAGUACCUCAGGAAUAAGGGACGGCUAAUUACGUGCCAGCAGCCGCGGUAAUACGUAAGUCCCAAGCGUUACCCGGAAUUAUUGGGUGUAAAGGGUUCGUAGGUGGACCUAUAAGUCAGGUAUGAAAGACCGGAGCUCAACUCCGCGUUUGUGCUUGAAACUGUAGGCCUAGAAUCAGGGAGAGGUAAGCGGAAUUCUUAGUGUAGGGGUGCAAUCCGUAGAUACUAAGAAGAACACCAAAAGCGAAGGCAGCUUACUGGAACUGUAUUGACACUGAGGAACGAAAGCGUGGGGAGCGAAAGGGAUUAGAUACCCCUGUAGUCCACGCCCUAAACGAUGAUAACUAAGUGUUGGGAAUUGUCCCAGUGCUGUAGCUAACGCGUUAAGUUAUCCACCUGAGGAGUACGGUCGCAAGAUUA
rnacentral:rRNA from 1 species